ensembl:lncRNA
AUGAGCUUCUCCCAGGCAGAUGAGCCACAAGAUGCUUGGGGUGAACACUCACCUGACAUUCAAGAGAAUGCAUUUUCUGUGCUGAGACCUUCAAGUUCCAAGCAAGAAAGAACACAGCCUCAUUUCAGAGAGAGCUUCUCUCAUGCAGACCGCCAGCUGGAAACUUGGGAAGAACACCCAUCUAUCACUCAAGCUGUUCCAGUGAGCUUGUCCAAUGAAAAUGAGCAAGAGGAUGCUUGGGAUGAACACCCAUCUAACUUUCAAGAGAACACAAUCUCUGAACAGAGACCCUCAAGUACCUACCAGGCAAGAACAAAUAGUGCUUCUGGUGUGAGACGAUGGAGCUGCAUCACUAAUCAAUGUACACCUGUUGAGAGGACAAUUCUGGAGGUACUUAACGAACUGGACAUGAAGAUCAAUCAUCUGUCUUCAGUGGUCCAGUCCCUUGCAGCUAACAGUCGUUCCAGUGCUCCAGUGCUGCUGGUGGACAGCGAGGAUGAUGUCUUUCCUCUCACAACCAUGGAGGAACUAGACAAACUGGAAAGACAAUUGUCAGAAAAAGCAAUGAUGCAAAAGAUGGUAAAAAUCAUUGACAUUUGUAGGUUUAACAGUUGUAGUGAAAUAAAAAAUGUCUAUUAUAUACCGAGAUUCACAGACAAGGCUUAA